rnacentral:rRNA from 1 species
UACGUAGGGACCGAGCGUUGUCCGGAAUCAUUGGGCGUAAAGAGCGUGUAGGCGGCUUGCUAAGUCUUGCGUGAAAUCUCGGGGCUCAACCCCGAGCGGUCGUGGGAAACUGGCAGGCUAGAGUGCGGGAGAGGAGAAUGGAAUUCCUGGUGUAGCGGUGAAAUGCGCAGAUAUCAGGAAGAACACCCGUGGCGAAGGCGGUUCUCUGGAACGCAACUGACGCUGAGACGCGAAAGCGUGGGAAGCAAACAGG